rnacentral:rRNA from 1 species
GGGAUUCAUUUCCUUAGUAACGUAGCUAACGCGUGAAGUUGACCGCCUGGGGAGUACGGUCGCAAGAUUAAAACUCAAAGGAAUUGACGGGGACCCGCACAAGCGGUGGAUGAUGUGGAUUAAUUCGAUGCAACGCGAAAAACCUUACCUACCCUUGACAUGGUCGGAAUCCUGCUGAGAGGUGGGAGUGCUCGAAAGAGAACCGGCGCACAG